rnacentral:rRNA from 1 species
GACGAACGCUGGCGGCAGGCCUCAUACAUGCAAGUCGAGCGAUUAAGACUCCUUCGGGAGUGUAUAAAGCGGCGAACGGGUGAGUAACAGGUGGAUGAUCUACCUUCCGGUGGGGGGAUAACAUUGUGAAAACAGUGCUAAUACCGCAUGACAGGGUUCCGGGCAUCCGGGACCCUUGAAAGGAGAAAUCCGGUCAGGGAUGGGCCCGCGUCCAAUUAGCUAGUUGGCGGGGUAACGGCCCACCAAGGCGACGAUUGGUAGCCGAACUGAGAGGUUGAUCGGCCACAUUGGGACUGAGACACGGCCCAGACUCCUACGGGAGGCAGCAGUGGGGAAUAUUGGGCAAUGGGCGAAAGCCUGACCCAGCGACGCCGCGUGAAGGAUGAAGGUCUUCGGAUUGUAAACUUCUUUGAUCAGGGAAGAAAGAAAUGACGGUACCUAGAAAACAAGACCAGGACUAACUACGUG